rnacentral:pre_miRNA from 1 species
GGGCGGCGACUGCCUUCUCCAGCGUUCGUUUAUGUUCCAUCGUUCGUUUACAUAAAGGAACGCUGGAGAAGGCAGUCGCCGCC